rnacentral:rRNA from 1 species
AGCUCCAAUAGCGUAUAUUAAAGUUGCUGCAGUUAAAAAGCUCGUAGUUGGAUUUCUAGCGAGGCACGAGAAUAUCCACCUAUGGUGAAUACUUCUCUCGCCUUGCUCUUCUUUAGUUGAUGUCUCUGGCAUUAAGUUGUCGGGGUCCUGAGACUAAUCGUUUACUGUGAGAAAAUUAGAGUGUUCAAAGCAGGCUUAUGCCGUUGAAUAUAUUAGCAUGGAAUAAUAAGAUAGGACUUCGGUACUAUUUUGUUGGUUUGCGUACUGAUGUAAUGAUAAAUAGGGACUGGCGUGGGUAUUCGUAUUCUAGUGUCAGAGGUGAAAUUCUUAGAUUACUGGAAGACGAACUACUGCGAAAGCAUUUACCAAGGAUGUUUUCA